rnacentral:tRNA from 6 species
GCUGAAUUAGCUCAGCGGUAGAGCACUUCACUCGUAAUGAAGGGGUCCCGAGUUCAAAUCUCGGAUUCAGCUCCA